UACGAAGGGGCUAGCGUUGCUCGGAAUCACUGGGCGUAAAGCGCACGUAGGCGGACUCUUAAGUCGGUGGUGAAAUCCUGGAGCUCAACUCCAGAACUGCCUCGAUACUGAGAGUCUCGAGUCCGGGAGAGGUGAGUGGAACUGCGAGUGUAGAGGUGAAAUUCGUAGAUAUUCGGCAAGAACACCUGCGGCGAAGGCGGGUU
rnacentral:rRNA from 1 species